UACGGAGGAUUCGAGCGUUAUCCGGAUUUAUUGGGUUUAAAGGGAGCGUAGGCGGGUUGUCAAGUCAGUUGUGAAAGUUUGCGGCUCAACCGUAAAAUUGCAGUCGAUACUGGCAUCCUUGAGUACAGUAGAGGUAGGCGGAAUUCGUGGUGUAGCGGUGAAAUGCUUAGAUAUCACGAAGAACUCCGAUUGCGAAGGCAGCCUGCUGGACUGUAACUGACGCUGAUGCUCGAAAGUGUGGGUAUCAAACAGG
rnacentral:rRNA from 1 species